rnacentral:rRNA from 1 species
UACGAAGGGGGCUAGCGUUGCUCGGAAUCACUGGGCGUAAAGCGCACGUAGGCGGAUUGCUAAGUCAGGGGUGAAAUCCUGGAGCUCAACUCCAGAACUGCCUUUGAUACUGGCGAUCUUGAGUCCGGGAGAGGUGAGUGGAACUGCGAGUGUAGAGGUGAAAUUCGUAGAUAUUCGGAAGAACACCAGUGGCGAAGGCGACUAACUGGACAUGUAUUGACGCUGAGGUGCGAAAGCGUGGGGAGCAAACAGG